UAUUUUAUUGUCACCAAUUAAUGAAUUAGGUGGUUCAUUUUCACAUUAGAGCAAAAACAAACUCUCAUGCUUCUGGCGUCUCCAUCAUUCAUUCAUACAUACACUAUUUCACUUGAGAUUACAGUACAACACUUCUAGUUUAGAUAUUAGAAAAAGUGAAAAUGCUAUCAAGCGCAUUAAACUGCAGUUGGGUUUUAUCAUGAUGCUUUGACUAAAAUCCUAAGCAGAGUACAGUCAAACACCAAGAAAAUGCACUUUUUUAGUACACUAGUGAAUAUCUGAGAUUUAAAUGUGAUGUUUAGAUGAAAUGACAGAAAACAUUGAAUGUGCUCAACAACCAUAUUCAGGAUGGGUGGACAAAAAUGUAAAUUGCCUGGGAAUAAAUUAACACUGUUAUUUUUGGGAAACAGAACAAGAUAUGACACUGGGAUAUUUGUAUGCAUUAAAGAGCAAAAAAAAUAAAAAAAAGUUUAGUUAUGCUCUAUUAGCAGACAACAUAAUUUCAACCUGCACCUCAGUUCAUAAAAAUAAACAACUGAGGUCCAAAUCAAAACUAUCUGUGGUAAUCGACAACAUGCCACAAAUGUUGUCAGUAGAGCUUAACAUCUAUAAACCUGGAAUAUUCCUUAUUGACAAUACCCUUUGACUGACCACUGUGAACAAUAGUUUUAAACAUGAAACAAAAUCAUAGAAAACCAUGAUCGCCAUAGCCUUAAAACAUUUAUUUUUUAUAACAAAAAGAGUACUGGGAUGUAAACAGGGCACUGCUAUCUAGGUGCUAAACACACAAAUACAUUUAGGCCACGUCUUUUUAUGAACCUUAACAAAAUGGUGCAAUGAGUAUUCUGACUAAAUUAAAGAAACAAGGACAUAGUAACAAAAAAAAACGGAGGAAUUAAUUUCAUAUGGAACAAAAGUAAAUAGGACUCUGAUGUUUACUUACACCUUCAAUAAAGAACAGAUAUUCAAAACAGAAACUCGCAUGGUUGAUUAUAUGGAUGUCAUAAUCAACUAACUCAACAGUGCGUCUUUGGGACCAUUCACACUUGAAGUGCAACAUUU